UAAAUUUGCUAGGGGUGCUUAUUAUAAGCUGAGACUGAGAUUUUUUUCUAACCCUCAUAACCUGAUUUAGAUAAUUCUAACGUAGGGAAGUACAGUUAAUGUUGA
rnacentral:ncRNA from 2 species